UGUGUGCACUGCUGUGUGCAGAACUACUUAUCUUCUGCUUACUGAGUUUAAUCUGAUAUUGUACAUAACACAAGAAUGCAUUCCAUAUCACAGUUCCAGCAAAAAUCCACUAACUAAACAACUGCUAAACUUAACAAGGAAACUGAACAGGAGACGCGGAUCAGAAGCCAAGAAGCAAUGCCUUCUGUCAGUGGAAUAUAAACUGCAAAAGGAAAGCAAGUCAUUCUCCUACACGGACGUCACCAAAGAUCUCCAGCAAACCCAGUUAAUUUCUUCAGGAAAAAAGUGAAAAUUUAAAUUUUGCCCUUCUUCUGAAGCACAAAUGAGCCUGGUGUCUGUAUAUGGCUGUCAGCACUCUGGAUAAUGGUCACUGAAGAAAAUGGAGCCAUCGAGUAAUUUUCUUUGUGGUACAAGGUGUAAAUGCAGUGAGUUUAAAGGAAAAACAACAGCUAAUGCAGAAUUUGAGUCCAGUUUACAGAUAGUUUUACGGGGGGGGGGGGCAGAAUGCCAUUUGCCACAGUAUUUUCAUAAGAAAUGUACCAAUAAAUGCAAAUGCAUACCAUAACUAUGUCAUUGCUGCUUGUUAUAAAAGCCCAGUAUAAUGUAUGUAAAUUAUGUUAAACAUGACAAUGAUGAUAUUUAAUUUGGAAUGCACAUACAUAGGUAUGAUGUGCACAAUGUUUUUGUUAUAAUUAUUAUGAGUUAUCACAUAUUGUAAGUAUAUGUUUAUGACAGUAUUUCUUGUUAAGUAUGUAUGUAACCUAAUCCCCACCCCAUGUAUUACUCAGGUUAUGCAACUGCAUGCAUCUAAAAUGUAUUGACAAACUUAAAUACUGCCUUUACAACGAAAUGCAGUCCAAAUUAUUAUACUUCCAAUUACCAUGUCAAACUGUAAGUUCUCCUGUGCCACUGACAGUUAAUAAACAAAGUUUAACAUUU